rnacentral:sRNA from 1 species
UGUAUCUGAAGCCUGACGAGGAUGAGAACCUCCGGGGGCAAGAGGUUCGACCCGAGCGAAGCGAGAAAACGUUGCGCCAGCAACGGCCCGCAGGGCGAGCCAUCCUCUAUCACCGGCAG